rnacentral:rRNA from 1 species
CAGUCGAGCGGAUGAGAGGAGCUUGCUCCUUGAUUUAGCGGCGGACGGGUGAGUAAUGCCUAGGAAUCUGCCUGGUAGUGGGGGAUAACGUUCCGAAAGGAACGCUAAUACCGCAUACGUCCUACGGGAGAAAGCAGGGGACCUUCGGGCCUUGCGCUAUCAGAUGAGCCUAGGUCGGAUUAGCUAGUUGGUGAGGUAAUGGCUCACCAAGGCGACGAUCCGUAACUGGUCUGAGAGGAUGAUCAGUCACACUGGAACUGAGACACGGUCCAGACUCCUACGGGAGGCAGCAGUGGGGAAUAUUGGACAAUGGGCGAAAGCCUGAUCCAGCCAUGCCGCGUGUGUGAAGAAGGUCUUCGGAUUGUAAAGCACUUUAAGUUGGGAGGAAGGGUUGUAGAUUAAUACUCUGCAGUUUUGACGUUACCGACAGAAUAAGCACCGGCUAACUUCGUGCCAGCAGCCGCGGUAAUACGAAGGGUGCAAGCGUUAAUCGGAAUUACUGGGCGUAAAGCGCGCGUAGGUGGUUCGUUAAGUUGGAUGUGAAAGCCCCGGGCUCAACCUGGGAACUGCAUCCAAAACUGGCGAGCUAGAGUACGGUAGAGGGUGGUGGAAUUUCCUGUGUAGCGGUGAAAUGCGUAGAUAUAGGAAGGAACACCAGUGGCGAAGGCGACCACCUGGACUGA